CUCUCCCUUUUUUCUCCCUCACGCACACGCACGCACUUUCCCCCAUGCACACAAACACACACACACGCACACACACACACACACACACACACACACACACGAUGCUCCCUGCCGUAGCGUGUUGUUGUCAGUGCGGUGAGUUACGUGUGAAAAGUUGUCUGCAGCACGCGUGACAUGCGAGGAGAUUCCUGCCAACGUCAGGGCCCUUUUUUGCCAUGCAGCAACAAGUGGCAGAAUCAAUGGUGUACAGUUAUUCAGCAAUGUAAUUCAUUUCACUGGCUUUGGCUCCUAGCCAGAUCCGCCAUCUGUCUCUUGCUCUCCCUCUCUCUCUCUCGCCUGAAUUUGUCCUACAUUUCGUAAUGUUACGUGCUUGCCAUCCUUAUUCUAUGUCAGAGGUACAGCACGAGCCUCACCCCCGUUCCAGCGUGGAGUUCUCUGAGUUCGGUGGCACUUUGGAUAUUCUACUUCAGUGCCAUGGGAAGAGGAGUAUCUUCGUUUUCUUUAUUGGAUGCUGGCACUGUACGCCACUGCACAGCUCCGUGGAAUGCCUGCUGUUGGAUACUUGCAGAUCCCUGCCACCAAGCAACCUCCUGCAUUGGAAAUCGGGUGACUACUCCAGGAUCUUAUGCGUGCUUGCUGUUUGAAGCUGCAGAAAAGUGAAUAAUCAAUUAAGUAUUGAUUUCUUGUAAGAUUUGGUAAAUUUCAAAGGCAAGACAAAGAGGAUGGCUUAAGGAAAGCACUGCAGGGACUUGGCGUAAAUUAGACAACUAACAGCAGUGCAGAAUAAAAUAACACCUCAACUGAAUAUUUCCUUGGAAGAAUUAGCACUAGCUAUUGGAAGACGAUGGUGGAUUUAAUCAAGACGGCAGGCACGCUUGAGUUUUAACUGUGAACCUGAAAGAGGAGCUAAUUAUAACCACCUUUUUAUAUGGAGCUAAUUUGACUGAAUGGAUGCAAAUGUGCUUUAUUUAUGGAUGAAGAAGCAAGCCUUACAGCAUUGACUUUGGGAUCAUCGCAUAUGCUAAGCUUUACAGCUUCUCUAAAAGUCAAGCCUACAGUACAUUUUUAUUUACUGAGAAGGUAUUUAUAUGUAAGCAUAAGCUAGCCGUACAAAAGAUUCAUCAGAACAAUGUACUGUGGCACUGAGGAUCUAAUUAUAAUUUUGCAGCAUUUCAUGUUUUCUCUAAUUUGGUGCUUUUCAACCCUUGCUUGUGAUGGGCUAUAAAUGGGACAAUAAAUGUAUGAUUUAAACUAU